rnacentral:rRNA from 1 species
AACGAACGCUGGCGGCAGGCUUAACACAUGCAAGUCGAACGCAUCCUUCGGGGUGAGUGGCAGACGGGUGAGUAACGCGUGGGAACGUGCCCUUCAGUUCGGGAUAACCCAGGGAAACUUGGGCUAAUACCGGAUACGUGCGAGAGCAGAAAGAUUUAUCGCUGAAGGAUCGGCCCGCGUCUGAUUAGCUAGUUGGUGAGGUAAUGGCUCACCAAGGCGACGAUCAGUAGCUGGUCUGAUAGGAUGAUCAGCCACACUGGGACUGAGACACGGCCCAGGCUCCUCCGGGGGGCAGCAGUGGGGAAUAUUGGACAAUGGGCGCAAGCCUGAUCCAGCCAUGCCGCGUGAGUGAUGAAGGCCUUAGGGUUGUAAAGCUCUUUCGGCGGGGACGAUAAUGACGGUACCCGCAGAAGAAGCCCCGGCUAACUUCGUGCCAGCCGCCGCCGUAA